rnacentral:rRNA from 1 species
GACGUAGGGGGCGAGCGUUGUCCGGAUUUAUUGGGCGUAAAGCGUGCGUAGGCGGCUGCGCAAGUCGGGUGUGAAACCCCGGGGCUCCGAACCCCGGAACCUGGACAUCCGAUACUGCGUGGCUAGAGGUAGGUAGGGGAGAUCGGAAUUCCUGGUGUAGCGGUGAAAUGCGCAGAUAUCAGGAGGAAUACCGAUGGCGAAGGCAGGUCUCUGGGCUGACACUGACGCUCAUGCACGAAAGCGUGGGGAGCAAACAGG